rfam:Aedes aegypti strain Liverpool supercont1.191 genomic scaffold, whole genome shotgun sequence.
CAAACGGCCCUUUUCAGGGCCACGAAACCAAUGGAAUAGAGUUAUUU